rnacentral:misc_RNA from 1 species
GAGCUUGAGGUAAGGCCGUUGGCGCUGCUGCAAUAGAUAGCGUAUUCUAGAAGCCGCCGCGUCGGUUAAGGUGAGGGCCUGACGCCUGAUGGCAGGUCCAAAUUUCUCCGCCGCUGCUGCCAGAAAUUGCGAAGCCAUUAGAUUUUUAGAUCGAAUAUCAAAAAUAAAACAAACUUGGGUUCGGCUUCUCCUUUUCACCAGGCAGGAGUUUUCUAGCAAGUUCUUGCCUUGCAAGAAUUUUUCAAAACUGGUUAGGCUCAGCCCAAGCCUCAGAAAAACUUGGCAAAUGGCAAUGACUUUCAAUUUUGAGCCCAGAAAAAUGGUGGGUAAGAGGCUUUGAAUUGCAGGGCCUGAGAGUUAUUGUUUCGCACUGUGUUCUGUCUCAUCAC